rnacentral:rRNA from 1 species
UACGUAGGAGGCAAGCGUUGUCCGGAAUUACUGGGCGUAAAGCGCGUGUAGGUGGUGGGACAAGUCUGCUGUGAAAGCGCCUGGCUUAACCGGGCGAGGUCGGCGGAAACUGUUCGACUCGAGGACGGUAGAGGGGGGUGGAAUUCCCGGUGUAGUGGUGAAAUGCGCAGAUAUCGGGAAGAACACCCGUGGCGAAGGCGGCUCUCUGGAACGCAACUGACGCUGAGACGCGAAAGCGUGGGAGCAACAGG